rnacentral:rRNA from 1 species
UACGGAGGAUCCAAGCGUUAUCCGGAAUCAUUGGGUUUAAAGGGUCCGUAGGCGGUUUGGUAAGUCAGUGGUGAAAGCCCAUCGCUCAACGGUGGAACGGCCAUUGAUACUGCCAGACUUGAAUUAUUAGGAAGUAACUAGAAUAUGUAGUGUAGCGGUGAAAUGUUAGAGAUUACAUGGAAUACCAAUUGCGAAGGCAGGUUACUACUAAUGGAUUGACGCUGAUGGACGAAAGCGUGGGUAGCGAACAGGAUUAGAACC